ACAGAGGGUGCAAGCGUUAAUCGAAGUUACUGGGCGUAAAGCGUGCGUAGGCGGAUAUUUAAGUCGGAUGUGAAAUCCCCGGGCUUAACCUGGGAACUGCAUUCGAUACUGGAUAUCUAGAGUAUGGUAGAGGAAAGUGGAAUUUCCGGUGUAGCGGUGAAAUGCGUAGAUAUCGGAAAGAACAUCAGUGGCGAAGGCGGCUUUCUGGACCUAUACUGACGCUGAGGUACGAGAGCGUGGGGAGCAAACA
rnacentral:rRNA from 1 species